rnacentral:rRNA from 1 species
ACCUGACUGCUAUCGGAUUGAUACUAAGCCAUGCGAGUCAUUGUAGCAAUACAAGGCAUACGGCUCAGUAACGCGUAGUCAACCUAACCUAUGGACGGGAAUAACCUCGGGAAACUGAGAAUAAUGCCCGAUAGAACAUUAUGCCUGGAAUGGUUUAUGUUCCAAAUGAUUUAUCGCCGUAGGAUGGGACUGCGGCCUAUCAGUUUGUUGGUGAGGUAAUGGCCCACCAAGACUAUUACAGGUACGGGCUCUGAGAGGAGUAGCCCGGAGAUGGGUACUGAGACACGGACCCAGGCCCUAUGGGGCGCAGCAGGCGAGAAAACUUUGCAAUGUGCGAAAGCACGACAAGGUUAAUCCGAGUGGUUUCUGCUAAAGAAACCUUUUGUCAGUCCUAGAAACACUGAUGAAUAAGGGGUGGGCAAGUUCUGGUGUCAGCCGCCGCGGUAAAACCAGCACCUCAAGUGGUCAGGAUGAUUAUUGGGCCUAAAGCAUCCGUAGCCUGUUCUGUAAGUUUUCGGUUAAAUCUAUGCGCUCAACGUAUAGGCUGCCGAAAAUACUGCAGAACUAGGGAGUGGGAGAGGUAGACGGUACUCGGUAGGAAGGGGUAAAAUCCUUUGAUCUAUUGAUGACCACCUGUGGCGAAGGCGGUCUACCAGAACACGUUCGACGGUGAGGGAUGAAAGCUGGGGGAGCAAACCGGAUUAGAUACCCGGGUAGUCCCAGCUGUAAACGAUGCAAACUCGAUGAUGCGUUGGCUUGUUGCUAGCGCAGUGUCGCAGGGAAGCCGUUAAGUUUGCCGCCUGGGAAGUACGUACGCAAGUAUGAAACUUAAAGGAAUUGGCGGGGGAGCACCACAAGGGGUGAAGCCUGCGGUUCAAUUGGAGUCAACGCCGGGAAU